GACGAACGCUGGCGGCAUGCCUAACACAUGCAGGUCGAGCGAGCUGAUCCCUUCGGGGUGAAGCUAGCGGCGGACGGGUGAGUAACACGUGGGCAACCUGCCUCAUAGAGGGGAAUAGCCUCCCGAAAGGGAGAUUAAUACCGCAUAAGAUUGUAGCUUCGCAUGAAGUAGCAAUUAAAGGAGCAAUCCGCUAUGAGAUGGGCCCGCGGCGCAUUAGCUAGUUGGUGAGGUAACGGCUCACCAAGGCGACGAUGCGUAGCCGACCUGAGAGGGUGAUCGGCCACAUUGGGACUGAGACACGGCCCAGACUCCUACGGGAGGCAGCAGUGGGGAAUAUUGCACAAUGGGGGAAACCCUGAUGCAGCAAUGCCGCGUGAGUGAUGACGGCCUUCGGGUUGUAAAGCUCUGUCUUCAGGGACGAUAAUGACGGUACCUGAGGAGGAAGCCACGGCUAACUACGUGCCAGCCGCCGCGGUAACAC
rnacentral:rRNA from 1 species